AUUGAACGCUAGCGGGAUGCCUUACACAUGCAAGUCGAACGGCAGCACGGACUUCGGUCUGGUGGCGAGUGGCGAACGGGUGAGUAAUGUAUCGGAACGUGCCCAGUAGCGGGGGAUAACUACGCGAAAGCGUAGCUAAUACCGCAUACGCCCUACGGGGGAAAGGGGGGGAUCUUAGGACCUCUCACUAUUGGAGCGGCCGAUAUCGGAUUAGCUAGUUGGUGGGGUAAAGGCCUACCAAGGCGACGAUCCGUAGCUGGUUUGAGAGGACGACCAGCCACACUGGGACUGAGACACGGCCCAGACUCCUACGGGAGGCAGCAGUGGGGAAUUUUGGACAAUGGGGGAAACCCUGAUCCAGCCAUCCCGCGUGUGCGAUGAAGGCCUUCGGGUUGUAAAGCACUUUUGUCAGGGAAGAAAAGGUUUCGGAUAAUACCCGGAACUGAUGACGGUACCUGAAGAAUAAGCACCGGCUAACUACGUGCCAGCAGCCGCGGUAAUACGUAGGGUGCAAGCGUUAAUCGGAAUUACUGGGCGUAAAGCGUGCGCAGGCGGUUCGGAAAGAAAGAUGUGAAAUCCCAGGGCUCAACCUUGGAACUGCAUUUUUAACUACCGAACUAGAGUAUGUCAGAGGGGGGUGGAAUUCCACGUGUAGCAGUGAAAUGCGUAGAUAUGUGGAGGAACACCGAUGGCGAAGGCAGCCCCCUGGGAUAAUACUGACGCUCAUGCACGAAAGCGUGSGGAGCAAACCAGAUUAGAUACCCUGGUUAGUCCACSCCCU
rnacentral:rRNA from 1 species